rnacentral:rRNA from 1 species
GGGUUGUGAGGUUAAGCGACUAAGCGUACACGGUGGAUGCCCUGGCAGUCAGAGGCGAUGAAGGACGUGCUAAUCUGCGAUAAGCGCCGGUAAGGUGAUAUGAACCGUUAUAACCGGCGAUUUCCGAAUGGGGAAACCCAGUGUGAUUCGUCACACUAUCAUUAACUGAAUCCAUAGGUUAAUGAGGCGAACCGGGGGAACUGAAACAUCUAAGUACCCCGAGGAAAAGAAAUCAACCGAGAUUCCCCCAGUAGCGGCGAGCGAACGGGGAGGAGCCCAGAGCCUGAAUCAGCAUGUGUGUUAGUGGAAGCGUCUGGAAAGGUGCGCGAUACAGGGUGACAGCCCCGUACACAAAAGCGCAUGUGCUGUGAGCUCGAUGAGUAGGGCGGGACACGUGGUAUCCUGUCUGAAUAUGGGGGGACCAUCCUCCAAGGCUAAAUACUCCUGACUGACCGAUAGUGAACCAGUACCGUGAGGGAAAGGCGAAAAGAACCCCGGCGAGGGGAGUGAAAAAGAACCUGAAACCGUGUACGUACAAGCAGUGGGAGCACAGGUUUACCUGUGUGACUGCGUACCUUUUGUAUAAUGGGUCAGCGACUUAUAUUCUGUAGCAAGGUUAACCGAAUAGGGGAGCCGGAGGGAAACCGAGUCUUAAUUGGGCGUUAAGUUGCAGGGUAUAGACCCGAAACCCGGUGAUCUAGCCAUGGGCAGGUUGAAGGUUGGGUAACACUAACUGGAGGACCGAACCGACUAAUGUUGAAAAAUUAGCGGAUGACCUGUGGCUGGGGGUGAAAGGCCAAUCAAACCGGGAGAUAGCUGGUUCUCCCCGAAAGCUAUUUAGGUAGCGCCUCGUGAAUUCAUCUCCGGGGGUAGAGCACUGUUUCGGCUAGGGGGCCAUCCCGGCUUACCAACCCGAUGCAAACUGCGAAUACCGGAGAAUGUUAUCACGGGAGACACACGGCGGGUGCUAACGUCCGUCGUGAAGAGGGAAACAACCCAGACCGCCAGCUAAGGUCCCAAAGUCAUGGUUAAGUGGGAAACGAUGUGGGAAGGCCCAGACAGCCAGGAUGUUGGCUUAGAAGCAGCCAUCAUUUAAAGAAAGCGUAAUAGCUCACUGGUCGAGUCGGCCUGCGCGGAAGAUGUAACGGGGCUAAACCAUGCACCGAAGCUGCGGCAGCGAACGUAUCACCCAAGACAACUUUACGGAGUUGACGAUUGACGGAGCGAAGCGACGUCAAAGCGUUCAUUAAAGUCGAGUUGGCUUAGGGAUACGUUCGUUGGGUAGGGGAGCGUUCUGUAAGCCUGUGAAGGUGUGUCGUGAGGC